AAAUGUUGAGCGGUCUUUUUUCCCAAAACAAAAUUUUGGUUACUUUUAGUUUCCUUCUCAGACUCGCUCUCUCUGUCGUCUCUCUCUCGAGCUCUCCGUCUCUCUCUCUAUCUCUCUGGACCCCCUCUCUCUCUCGAGGUGAUUAGAGCUUCAGAUUGUUGCUUCAACUCUUCUUCUUCGAUUAAUUGGUCAGAAGAACAAUUUUGGUCCAAGUCGAGUGAGAAUGAUGAUGAAACUUUAAAUGAAGAGGGACAAUCAAAGCAUAGCACUCUGAUGGUGCAUCUGAUGGUGUCUAGCAGACUAGUAAUCUGGUAGGAGAAAUAUGUUAUAUUUUUCACUUACGGCACCAUUUUUAUCUCUCUUGCAGGUUAUGAAAUAUGUGCCUUAAUGGUAUAAUGGAUGCUCAUCUCUGCUACUUUAAACAGAGAGACUGAAUCCAGACCACUGGAGGCUUAGGGUGAGACGAUGACAUGAUGGAGAGGAUGGAGCUUGAACUUUUACUAUUUAUUUUUUAAAUUUCAGUUAAUUGUGAUACUUUAACACUUGUUUUGCUGGUUGUGGAUACACCAUUGUGGGGUGUUUGGAUUUUGAAAUUGUUAAAUUUGGUUACGAGGAUUGUCUUGUUUAGCAACUAUAUGAAUCAUGUUUUAUAUUUAUUAUUAGCACUGGUUGUGAGCCGACUUGAUAGUCUAAUCCACACAG